AGCUCCUUUCUUCACAAGUUCUUCUGACUGCAGGAACAUUUCAGUUCAGCUCUGAGGGCCGGAAAUGACCGUAGAGAUUGAAGUUCCUCAAAGCCCCACACAAAACUGGCGUGUGGGUUGGUGCACCGGGGAAACACUUCACCAUCCCUGCUGGGUGAGGGCAACAUGCAGCCCCCCCGGGCACACGAGGACACAGGCUUGCAGCUCCAGGCACUGCUGGAGGGACAGAACUACGGAGCUGCUGCAGGAGAUGGGACACGAUGCCCAGCUGUGCCUGCGCCAAGGAACAGCCCGGCAGUGAGGGAUUGCCUGGUAGUCGCCGUGCUGUGCUUUGGGAAUUUAAUAAAUUUCAUGGAUUGGUUCAUUGUGCCAGGGAUCCUGUUGGAUAUACAGAAAUACUUUGGGCUCAGCGAUGGGAAGACAGGUCUGCUGCAGACAGUGUUCACCUUGUGUUACAUGCUGGCUGCCCCCAUCUUUGGAUACCUCGGAGACCGCUACAACAGGAAAAUCAUCCUUGGAGCUGGGAUUCUCUUCUGGUCUGGUGUCACCUUGGGCAGUUCCUUCAUCACUGAGUCGUAUUACAGGAUAUUUGUUCUCUCACGAGGACUGGUUGGCAUUGGCACAGCCAGUUACUCCACCAUAGCACCCACCAUCAUUGCAGACCUGUUUGAGGAAGGAAAAAGGACCACAGUGUUAUCUAUCUUCUAUAUCUUCAUUCCAGUGGGAAGUGGCUGUGGUUACAUGCUGGCAGCUGGCAUGGCAAAGAGCACAGGGGACUGGCACUGGGCAUUCAGGGUAACUCCUUGCAUGGGAGGUCUAGCACUGGUCCUCCUGAUUCUCCUGGUCCCUCCCAGGAUCCAGAGAAGGACAGCGAGACACAGAGCACUGAGCAUCUCCGGCACAAGACGAGGAGCAGAUGAGACACCAGGGGUACCCAGAACUGCCAAGACUACUUGGUGUCAAGAUGUUGGAUCCCUUGCCAAGAACUGUAGUUUUGUCUGGUCCUCACUGGGUCUGACAGCCAUGGCCUUUGUCACUGGAGCCCUGGGAAUGUGGGUACCACUGUUCCUCUACAGGGCUCAGCUUGUCCAGGGCAUUGUCCCCCCCUGCCUCCAGGAAUCGUGCAAUUCAUCCAACAGCCUAAUCUUCGGAGGCAUCACCGUCGGGACAGGAAUCGUGGGGGUCGUCGCUGGGGCAGAGGCCGCGAGAAGAUUAAGGAAGAUGUACAAUAAAGCUGAUCCUCUGAUCUGUGCCACCAGCAUGUUCAGCUCUGCCCUGUGCCUCUACACAGCUCUCAUGCUGGCCCAGACCAGCAUCCUUUCCACCUUUAUUUUUAUUGCAUUUGGAGAACUGUUUUUAUCUGUGAACUGGGCUGUUGUGACAGACAUACUGCUGUACGUGGUGACCCCGAGGCGCCAGUCCACGGCCAUCGCCCUGCAGAUCCUGCUGAGCCACCUGCUGGGGGAUGCAGGCAGCCCGUACCUCAUCGGGGCUUGCUCUGGGCUUUGCAAGUCUAGCUGCUCUCCAAACUCCUCCUGUUCUUUGUCGCUUGUCCUGGGCUGGUGCCAGCAGUUCUCAGCUUCUGAAGAGACCAACAAGGGCACUUUGGUACCAGUAUUGCAGUUUUCUCUCAUCUUAUGAGAUCCUGUCUGUUUAAAAGAGAAUGAAAUGGGAAGGAGGGAAGAGUGUAACACUCAGUUCACUUGUUGUUCUGAAAGGCUUUGAGGUCACAGCCACCAGAGCAGGGAUGUGGUCAGUGAGAGGCCCCCAGACAGGGCCACCUGCGAGAUGAGACCUUCACAGACACCAAAGGAAAGCUUUCAGAUAUUCAGUUCCUGCAGCCUAAACCAGCACAAAACAGGGCUAAGGAGGGACCUGAACCAGAGGCACAGCUGUGAGACACAUCUGUACCUGCUGCACCCACAGAACACCUCCCUGCGUACCAGCAGCACUGAGGGAACUGCAAACAAACAUUUCCAGAGGUGGGCAACAAGAAAAAAAUCCCUGAGAUGAACAACAGGUACUUCAAAGAUCCUUAGGGGAAGGGUUUUAUUCUAAAAUCAGGCAGUAGCUUUAAACCCUGUACAGUUUCUUGCAUUU